rnacentral:piRNA from 1 species
CUUGAAAUUGAACUCCCCAGUGAGC